UACAGAGGUCCCGAGCGUUGUUCGGAUUCAUUGGGCGUAAAGGGUGCGUAGGCGGCGGGGCAAGUCUGAUGUGAAAUCCUGGGGCUCAACCCUGGAACUGCAUUGGAUACUGCCUUGCUAGAGUACUGGAGAGGAAACUGGAAUUUACGGUGUAGCAGUGAAAUGCGUAGAGAUCGUAAGGAAGACCAGUGGCGAAGGCGGUUGUCUGGGCUGAUACUGACGCUGAGGCGACGAAGCCAGGGGAGCGAACGGGAUAGAAACCC
rnacentral:rRNA from 1 species